AUUGAACACUGGCGGCAGGCCUAACACAUGCAAGUCGAACGAGUGGCGGACGGGUGAGCAAUGUCUGGGACACUGCCUGAUGGAGGGGGAUAACUACUGGAAACGGUAGCUAAUACCGCAUACCAUCGGAUGUUCCCAGAUGGGAUUAGCUAGUAGUUGGGGUAAAGGCUCACCUCGGCGACGAUCCCUCGCUGGUCUGAGAGGAUGACCAGCCACACUGGAACUGAGACACGGUCGAGACUCCUACGGGAGGCAGCAGUGGGGAAUAUUGCGCAAUGGGCGCAAGCCGGAUGCAGCCAUGCCGCGUGUAUGAAGAAGGCCUUCGGGUUGUAAAGUACUUUCAGCGGGGAGGCGUUACCCGCAGAAGAAGCACCGGCUAACUCCGUGCCAGCAGCCGCGGUAAUUC
rnacentral:rRNA from 1 species